rnacentral:rRNA from 1 species
GAAGCGGCAAGAGCUCAAAUUUGAAAUCUGGCCCCCUCGGGGUCCGAGUUGUAAUUUGCAGAGGAUGCUUCGGGUGCGGUCCCCAUCUAAGUGCCCUGGAACGGGCCGUCAUAGAGGGUGAGAAUCCCGUCUGGGAUGGGCGGCCGCGCCCGUGUGAAGCUCCUUCGACGAGUCGAGUUGUUUGGGAAUGCAGCUCUAAGCGGGUGGUAAAUUUCAUCUAAAGCUAAAUACUGGCCGGAGACCGAUAGCGCACAAGUAGAGUGAUCGAAAGAUGAAAAGCACUUUGAAAAGAGAGUUAAACAGCACGUGAAAUUGUUGAAAGGGAAGCGUUGUCCACCAGACUCGCCCGGGGGGGUUCAGCCGGCACGUGUGCCGGUGUACUCCUCUCCGGGCGGGCCAGCAUCGGUUUGGGCGGCUGGUGAAAGGCCCCGGGAAUGUACCACCCUCCGGGGUGUCUUAUAGCCCGGGGUGCCAUACAGCCAGCCUGGACCGAGGCCCGCGCUUCGGCGAGGAUGCUGGCGUAAUGGUGGUCAACGGCCCGUCUUGAAAC